UACAGAGAGUGCAAGCGUUAAUCGGAAUUACUGGGCGUAAAGCGUGCGUAGGUGGAUACUUAAGUCGGAUGUGAAAGCCCUGGGCUUAACCUAGGAAUUGCAUUCGAUACUGUGUGUCUAGAGUAUGGUAGAGGGAAGUGGAAUUUCCGGUGUAGCGGUGAAAUGCGUAGAUAUCGGAAAGAACACCAGUGGCGAAGGCGGCUUCCUGGACCAAUACUGACACUGAAGCACGAAAGCGUGGGGAGCAAACAGG
rnacentral:rRNA from 1 species